GAAUAUUGGACAAUGGGGGGAACCCUGAUCCAGCCAUGCCGCGUGUGUGAAGCAGGCCUUUUGGUUGUAAAGCACUUUAAGCGAGGAGGAGGAGCUCUUGGUUAAUACCCAAGAUGCUUGGAUGUUACCCGCAGAAUACGCACCGGCUAACUCUGUGCCAGCAGCCGCGGUAAUACAGAGGGUGCAAGCGUUAAUCGGAUUUACUGGGAGUAAGGCACGGGUAGGUGGACAAUUAAGUCAAAUGUGAAAUCCCCGAGGUUAACUUGGGAAGUGCAUGCGAUACUGGUUGGCUAGAGUAUGGGAGAGGAUGGUAGAAUUCCAGGUGUAGCGGUGAAAUGCGUAGAGAUCUGGAGGAAUACCGAUGGCGAAGGCAGCCAGCUGGCCUAAUACUGACACUGAAGUGCGAAAGCAUGGGGAGCAAACA
rnacentral:rRNA from 1 species